UACGUAGGGGGCAAGCGUUGUCCGGAUUUAUUGGGCGUAAAGAGCGUGUAGGCGGCCUGGAAGGUCAGCUGUGAAAACUCGAGGCUCAACCUCGAGACGUCGGUUGAAACCACCUGGCUAGAGUCCGGAAGAGGAGUGUGGAAUUCCCGGUGUAGCGGUGGAAUGCGCAGAUAUCAGGAGGAACACCGGUGGCGAAGGCGGGUCUCUGGGCAGUAACUGACGCUGAGGAGCGAAAGCGUGGGGAGCGAACAGG
rnacentral:rRNA from 1 species